GUGGCGUACACAAUGGGAUGUCCGAGUAACGUCACAGAUCAAACGGCCAAGGGCGGGUGUGUCACAUUUCGCUUGGGCCAUGAUUUUUCGCUAAGGAAGUGGCCUGUCACGUGGUACGCGUGUGCCAAGCGCCAUUGGACGAGCAGGCGAGGACGAUUUGCAUCGGCGGAUGUGACGUCAUGAAACGGGGAAAGGCGCGCUCAAGGGAAGUUUUCAAAUACAAGUGCAUCCGCCCGCCCGCGAGCUAGCAUACUAGUAAAUGUUUGUCGUUCAUCGGCGUUCCUCACGACGGAGGCCUUGUUUGUUUGUUGCAGGAUUCAAGGCGAGUUCUCAAAUGCAGGCGCCACCGACCGCGUGGCGGUUUUAUUCGGGAUUCAAGGGGAGUUUUCGGAUACCGGCGCCAGCGACCGUGUGGCGGUUUCUCGGCGCUCAAAGGCCUCCCAGCCAGCACCCUUCUAUACAAAGCAAGCAGGAGGCUCCUGAGCCCUCUCAGUGAUGUUGAGGAUGCUGAGUAGUCCCAAAUCAGGUUUUUUUUGUAUGAAACCAGUGACGCCGGUGAGAAGUCACACCAUCGAACUCCCUGACGCAGAGCUGUGCUUUACCAUUAGCCAGACCAGGCAACUGCCUGGGGCAAGGCCACUAGGGGGCUCUCUUAUUUAUCCAUUUUUACAUUUGCCACUUGUCCCUUGUAUUCCUGCUCGUACGCUGCUGUGACAAGUAAAUUUCCCUGUUGUGGAAUAAAGUUCCAUCAAUCAA